rnacentral:rRNA from 1 species
GCCCCAUGCUCCAGAAUAGCUCUUGGAAACGGGUGGUAAUGCUGGAUGCUCCAACUUGACGCAUGUCUUGUUGGGAAAGUGUUUAGUGGCAUGGGAUGGGUCGCGUCCUAUCAGCUUGUAGCGGGGUAAUGGCCCACCUAGGCUUCGACGGGUAGCCGGCCUGAGAGGGCGGACGGCCACAUUGGGACUGAGAUACGGCCCAGACUCCUACGGGAGGCAGCAGUGGGGAAUAUUGCGCAAUGGGGGAAACCCUGACGCAACGACGCCGCGUGCGGGAUGAAGGCCUUCGGGUUGUAAACCGCUUUUGAUUGGGAGCAAGCCUUUUGGGUGAGUGUACCUUUCGAAUAAGCGCCGGCUAACUACGUGCCAGCAGCCGCGGUAAAU